GUGGGGAAUCUUAGACAAUGGGGGAAACCCUGAUCUAGCCAUGCCGCGUGAGCGAUGAAGGCCUUAGGGUUGUAAAGCUCUUUCAGCUGGGAAGAUAAUGACGGUACCAGCAGAAGAAGCCCCGGCUAACUCCGUGCCAGCAGCCGCGGUAAUACGGAGGGGGCUAGCGUUGUUCGGAAUUACUGGGCGUAAAGCGCGCGUAGGCGGACCAGAAAGUUGGAUGUGAAAUCCCAGGGCUCAACCUUGGAACUGCCUUCAAAACUCCUGGUCUGGAGUUCGAGAGAGGUGAGUGGAAUUCCGAGUGUAGAGGUGAAAUUCGUAGAUAUUCGGAGGAACACCAGUGGCGAAGGCGGCUCACUGGCUCGAUACUGACGCUGAGGUGCGAAAGCGUGGGGAGCAAACAGGAUUAGAAACCCUAGUAGUCC
rnacentral:rRNA from 1 species